rnacentral:rRNA from 2 species
CGCGUUGGCCCAAUUGAUUGAUGGUGCUUGCACCUGAUUGAUUUUGGUCGCCAACGAGUGGCGGACGGGUGAGUAACACGUAGGUAACCUGCCCAGAAGCGGGGGACAACAUUUGGAAACAGAUGCUAAUACCGCAUAACAACGUUGUUCGCAUGAACAACGCUUAAAAGAUGGCUUCUCGCUAUCACUUCUGGAUGGACCUGCGGUGCAUUAGCUUGUUGGUGGGGUAACGGCCUACCAAGGCGAUGAUGCAUAGCCGAGUUGAGAGACUGAUCGGCCACAAUGGGACUGAGACACGGCCCAUACUCCUACGGGAGGCAGCAGUAGGGAAUCUUCCACAAUGGGCGCAAGCCUGAUGGAGCAACACCGCGUGAGUGAAGAAGGGUUUCGGCUCGUAAAGCUCUGUUGUUAAAGAAGAACACGUAUGAGAGUAACUGUUCAUACGUUGACGGUAUUUAACCAGAAAGUCACGGCUAACUACGUGCCAGCAGCCGCGGUAAUACGUAGGUGGCAAGCGUUAUCCGGAUUUAUUGGGCGUAAAGAGAGUGCAGGCGGUUUUCUAAGUCUGAUGUGAAAGCCUUCGGCUUAACCGGAGAAGUGCAUCGGAAACUGGAUAACUUGAGUGCAGAAGAGGGUAGUGGAACUCCAUGUGUAGCGGUGGAAUGCGUAGAUAUAUGGAAGAACACCAGUGGCGAAGGCGGCUACCUGGUCUGCAACUGACGCUGAGACUCGAAAGCAUGGGUAGCGAACAGGAUUAGAUACCCUGGUAGUCCAUGCCGUAAACGAUGAGUGCUAGGUGUUGGAGGGUUUCCGCCCUUCAGUGCCGGAGCUAACGCAUUAAGCACUCCGCCUGGGG